rnacentral:rRNA from 1 species
UGGGGAAUUUUCCGCAAUGGGCGAAAGCCUGACGGAGUGACGCCGCGUGGGGGACGAAGGCCUUCGGGUUGUAAACCCCUGUCAGUGGGAAAGAAGGGUGUCGGCGUGAUAACCGCCGGCACUUGACGGUACCUUCAGAGGAAGCCCCGGCCAACUCUGUGCCAGCAGCCGCGGUAAGACAGAGGGGGCAAGCGUUGCUCGGAAUCACUGGGCGUAAAGGGCGCGUAGGCGGGAUGGCAAGUCGGUCGUGAAAUCGCUCGGCUCAACCGAGAAACGUCGGCCGAUACUGCCGUUCUUGAGGGAUGCAGAGGAGACUGGAAUUCCCGGUGUAGCGGUGAAAUGUGUAGAGAUCGGGAGGAACGCCGGUGGCGAAGGCGGGUCUCUGGGCAUUUCCUGACGCUGGGGCGCGAAAGCGUGGGGAGCAAACGGG